rnacentral:rRNA from 1 species
GGUUGCGAUCAUACCAGCACUAAUGCACCGGAUCCCAUCAGAACUCUGCAGUUAAGCGUGCUUGGGCGAGAGUAGUACUAGGAUGGGUGACCUCCUGGGAAGUCCUCGUGUUGCAACCC